AAGUUACUCUCCUGUUGGCAGAUUUGGCAUUAUGAUCAUUCAGAUGAUCAUUCAGCCUGUCAAUCAAACUCCCUGCAAAGGGUCAAUUGUAGAACUUGCUGUGAUAAUUAAUACAUUUCCCCCAACGGGAAAAAGUUAACUUUAGGUGUUUAUUUCUAUUUUGUUAGAUUACAUCUGGUUAAUUUUCUUGCAGAUGUGUAAAUACAGUUCAAUCAGAGCAUAUUUCAUAAGACGUUUAUAGAAAUACUUCCUUAAAUUACAACACAAGCUCAUUCAUUUUUUGUUUUAAAAGUGUACUGGAUAACAGGAAUGUCCCGGCAACUCUGUUAGCAUUUAAGGUAAUUACCCACAACGUUAGUCAACCGGCAACUAAUGGUGUGGCUUCCUGUUUUUGCUUCCAGAAUAUCGUAGCAAUAACAACGAUUUUUCAGUUGGUGAGUUGAAGAAGAAAGAUUGCUUUUCGAAGACAAUUCCUCAUUUUUAUCUCAUAUGGAGAGCAGAUGGCAGGCCUGCAUCAGUGCAGGAGGCUUUCUGGGAUGACAGCCAUGAGAUUCCCCCUCAGGUGCCAUUGGAGCCCUCAUGUGCCGGGAGUGUGAUGGUUGGGACAUGGCACCUCCUCGUGAAAGAAUGGCUCUCUGUUCGCCUCCCUUUCUCACUUCGUAAUGGUGCUUGCUAACAACCUAAUAUUUCAAGUGUAUGUGUGCACACACAGUGGCUCAAACAGUAUGGACUCUCUUCUCUCCUUCUCUGACAGUCUAUUUCUUUGUGUGUGGGUAUGAAAACACGUCCUUGGAUUGGAGCUGAAGAUCUAAGGACAGAAUUAUCUUCUUAUUAGGAGUAUUCUGCUUAGUUUAAUGCUCGUUAAUUAGUUUAAUGAACCGCUAAUUGUCUAUGGAUAGUAUUUGUGAGAGAAAUUUGAACUACGGUAAUGCACUUCACAUUGGUUAUAUUGGAAGUAUAAAAAGCAGAAAUGCAAAGCUUGUGAUUUUAUUCAAACUUUAAGUCUGCUAUUUUAGCUAGUCAUGCUAUGAGUCAAAAGUCAAAGUAGAGAGAGUGUGAUGGUUGGAUAUUUUAUUUAAAUUAGUGAUUCUUUACAAUUUACAAGGCUUCACUGAAAAAAUACAAAGGAUAACAUGUUUUCUGUCUUUUCGUAGAAACCAAGGUCUGUGAUAAUUGACAACAUGCCACAAUUUAAAAAAAGUAACCUAAACAGAUCUAUGUGGCACAGAUCUCGGACCAGUGAGGAUUCAUUAUGGGCGGAGCUACCCAGUGUGACACCAUGAAAACAGAAGCCAAGCACCUUGCAAAAGGCCAUUUUACGGUGACAGGGAGUGUCUGCAUUAUGUACGAAAAUAUUCGAGACCUCAUCACAAUAUCAGAGAGAACAAGUGGAUACUCCACCAAAAGCCUCCUGCAUUUUUGAUGACUCGACCUUCUGUCCUCUUCCCGGAGAUGAAGUGUCUCAUAAGAAGAGAAAUGGCGACCAACAACAGUUCGGCCCCAUUAAGACAGCACGUCUAAUAUUCAUCCCGCCGUAUAUUCAUCAGAUUGGACAGACCGCAUCAACUCGGCUCAUUUCUGCAUUUUUAAUUGUUGUUUUUUACCAGGAGCUCAUCCUUGGGGAGGCAGUCCAGUCUCUCCGAAAGGCUAUAAAUCUGCACGUCUGCUCGGAAGGAUAUCCGAAACGAUCUCUACCCGGCUUCCCGGAGAGCGGGGCGGUGUGAUGGUAUGAGCGUUGAGGAGCAACUGACUGGCAUUACUAACUUAAAGGUAGAUUGUGUAAUUUCUGCGUCGUUAAACGGAAAUGCAAAAAUAAUGACUGUCAGACAUGUGCUAGUCCGCAAGAGUGCGUUAGUCCCCACCCACUUUUUAAGUGGCUCUAGUAUUUUUUCCAUUAAUUUUUCCCCUAGUGAUUUUUAAAAAGUCUUUGUUAAAGGAAAAGUCCACUUCUAGAACAAAAAUUUACAGAUAAUGUGCUCACCCCCCUUGUCAUACAAGAUGUUCAUGUUCUUCUUUCUUUAGCCGUAAAGAAAUUAUUUUUUUGAGGGAAACAUUUCAGGAUUUUCUCCAUAUAAUGGACUGAUAUGGUGCCCCGAAUUUGAACUUUCAAAAUGCAGUUUAAAUGCGGCUUCAAACGAUCCUAAAUGCAGUUGUAAAUGAUCCCAGCCGAAGAAGAAGGGUCUUAUCUAGCAAAACGAUCGGUUAUUUUCAUAAAAAUAAUACAAUUUAUAUACUUUUUAAAGUCUUGUUUUGUCUCUGCCUGAACUGUUUUUUCCGGUUCAUGACAGUUAGGGUAUGUUGAAAAACUCCCAUCUCAUGUUCUCCCUCAACUUCAAAAUCAUCUUAUAUCGCGGUUUUACCUUUUUUGUUAAGGGAGUUUGAUCUUUGCAUAUUCACUUUGCACAGGCUGUGUUGGUACUUCUGUAGCGAUGUAAGAUGAUUUUAAAAUAAUUUUUGAAGUUUAGGGAGAAAAUACGAUUGGAGUUUUUUGACAUACCCUAACUGUCUUGAACCAAAACACACAGAGUUCAGGCAGAGCAAGACAAGAUGAGCGUUUGAGAUUAAAAAGUAAUCUUGGCGAUUUCACGCCAGGCAUAAUUACAAACUGAAAAACUUGCGAAAUUCGCAGAACAAAAAGGUUCUCAGAAUGUCCAAUAUCUGUAUUUAUCAGAUAAAACUUUUGUUUUCUUUAGGAAUCCUGCAAGCACUUUAUUUUUUAUUGAUAUUAGAUGUAAUUCUUAAGUUAAGAUCAAAAUGAUCUGACAUGGUUAUAACAUGUGACAUGGUUAUAAACUUAAAUUGUAAAGCAGGGUCUAGAAAUAUAUAUGGUCUUUUUAUAAAAGCUUACAUUUUAUACAUUUAAUAACUAAAGAAUCUCGCAACCACUUUAUUUUCCCCCUUUACUUGUACUGCACAAAAAGUGAUUCAGUAACAUUGAAUGGUUUGCAUAUGGUUGUGUUCUUAAUUACAGCUUUCCUAAAAUGAUGUCCUAUUCAUAAAACAAGAAAUAUCCCAAUAUAUCGUCUUGUUUACAGUAUCACAAUGUAUCGCAACAUAUCGUAUCGCAACCCCUGUAUCGUGAUACGUAUCGUAUCGGCAGAUUUUUGGCAAUACACAGCCCUACAUUAUAUGUAAAUUUCUAUUCUGGAAGUGGACUUCUCCUUUAAUGGCACUUUAAAUGCAAACAGACAAAAUUAAUAUAAAAUAAGCUGAUAGUGUAUAUUUUUAAAUGUGAUUGUUGGUACACUUUACCAGUAUACUUAUGCAAUAUGAAAUAAUUAAAGAAAUUUUAUCUUUUUCUUAAUAAAACACAAGAUUUGGUUUUCAAAAAGCCUUUUUCCAAAGGGUACAUCUUGAAAAAAAAGGGGGUCAUCUUAUUAUCAGGGUCAUCUUAUAUUCGGACCAGUACGGUAAAUAAACUAACACUAAAGCUUAAUAAAAAACAAUUAAAUCUUUCAAAAUAUCAACAAAAGCUAUAAUAGUAUCAGUGAUAAUAAAAUGCAGAAAAUAAUACAGAAAUUGUACUUUUAUAGCUGCAGCAGCUUGUCACUGGGACAGUAACGCUUUAAGGAAAAAAAUGUACCUUAUAUACUCCUUAAAGGUGCACAUUAAUCAAGUCAGGUGAAGUCAAAUAGGCUUGACUUCAUUAUUAGUACCUUAGAGUAGAAAUAUGUAACCCUUAGUAUGAACCUUUUUGGGGUAAAUAAGGUACAAAGUUGUCCCUUUAAGGGUCCUGUGCCAGUGACAAGCUGUUUCUGCAUAGUUGUGUUGGGAAGUCUGAUUUAUUUUAAUGAAUAAUAACAAAAAAGUUUAGCAUAAUGGUGCUGUUUAUCACAAGAGUGUGUUUUGUUUAUAAAUGAUGGCGAGGUUCCACCAUCUAGAACGUAGUGAAAUCCAAAAAUGUCUAUAAGAGCACAUCCAGUGGUCCAUUAAAUUCAAACAAGAUGAAGUACCUUUCGUUUGCAAAGUAUCCAAAUGACUGGGUUAUCCAUAAAUAGGCAUUAACACAACUUCUAGAAAAAGAUAACUAUAUCACGAUAUGUACCGUUACUGUGAUAUAAAAUGACUCAUACGUGAUUCCGCCCACCCCUACUGUCCCGUGUGACUAUUGGUUAUCAUUGAGCGGUCCGCCCACUUCUGCUCUAUUUGUGCAGAUAUAACAUGUCAAUUAUGCCCACCUUUGAUCUCGAAGUGUAGUUAUUUUUCAGCGUUUCUUCCCUCUGUGGAAGAAAUAGCUAUAUUUUUAGGCUUCAUAAAGUGCACUUGAUAGAAUCCCCCCUCCUCUCGAUGAGAUGAAGUAGCCGUCUGUUUCAGAACCAUGUAAAUGAGGCCUUGCCAAUCCACAGCUCUGUGAUCCGACUCAGAAGUGAAGAGCUCAGUGGAGACUUUGAAAUGUUGAUUUAGUCCUGGUUUGAGGAUGGCGAGUCCCCCCGUCGCACCUUUAAAAAUACAGUUGAUCUAAGUUUCAUGUGCGCUUCAAAGUUGUGAAGGUUGCCUUUCUCUUCCCAAUUGUCUGAGAUGUCAAAGCUAAAUGUGAAGAUCCGCUCCGCCACGCCUGCAUCAAGAGCGCGGCGUGAUUGUUUGAAGUCCGCGAAAUCACAGACGAUAAGACUGAAGCCAAGGCAGUCACUGUCUUCUGGAAACUGUACUUGCUUUUGUACUUUGUGUUCUUUCUUACAGUACUUUUGGUACCUGCGCCAUGUGUUUUCCAUUCUCAAAAGUUUUAAAUGAGGAGGGUUGCGUUUCCUUUAUUGCAUUGGUUAAAGGGUUAUUUCACUCAGAAAUGAAAAUUCUGUCAUCAUUUACUCAACUUUGUGUCGUUCCAAAACAGCAGGGUAUUAUUCUUGUGCGUGGAACACAAAGGAGAAUUUUUUCGAAGAAUAUUCAUAUAGUCACAUGCUUCUUUUAUUGCUAUAUUCCAAGUCUUCUUAAGUCAUAUAAUUGGGUUUUUGGAGAAACAGACUAAAAUUGAGGUUGUAAUUUGCUCUCAAAACUCAUUUAUGACAAUAAAACUGUCAUUUGAGAAAGCUCGCGAAUGGCUUCAGAUUUUUUUUUGCCUAUUUUUGACUGAUGGGCUCAUCAUGAACUGUCCACAGAUUCUUCUGCUCUAUGAGGGUGAGUAAAUAUAGUUUUUUUUAAUAGGUUAAACAGUUGUGAGAACUUAUGACAAUGCACUUCUAAUUCUAGCUUCAUCAAGGUAAAAGGAAAUACAAUCCGGAAGUGUGGCGGUCGCAUCGGAUUUCUGAAACCAGGAAGUGCGGAACACAAAAGAAUCACAGAUCCCUUCCAAAACAUUAAAAACACGUCUUCCACCCUUUCAUACGAAAGCUGAUGGCUGGUUUUCUGGCUGCUAGUUAACAGCAGACCUUCCUCGCACACACCCCGAGGUGAAGAUUCAACCCGCCGACCACCCACUUCGCCAGACAUCUCCCCCGGGCAUCAACACCACAUGGCCAUCGUCCAGCCGACAUCUCCCCAGCGACGGGCCGCCGCUGCUAAUGAUGCCCCGUGUUUGGCAGUUCAGAAGCCUGUUUGAUCAGGUAUCAACCCUGCACGUCAAUGAUCUCUACAGAUAUCGCCGCAGAGAGCAGAAUGGAGGCUGAGGUUCAGAAGGAUCUGUCAUCAGAUCAAUCAGCUCUCCUCACCCUGUCAACCAGUCAGUCUCUGGGACCGAGGGCCAUCAAGGGCCAAUGCCUUGCCUUUGGUUGCACUUUCUCCUCAAGCAAUGGAAGGUUUUUAUCUCUAAUGAGGAAUGGGUUUGGUUUGUGGAAUAAAAUUGCAGAGGUGGUGUUGAUGCGUACAACCCAUCUGGUUGUACAAAAAGAGAAGCAUUUAAGAUAAACUACCAAAAGUGCAUGGACACUUGAACACCACACCUGGUGUUAAUUUUAAACCCGUAUGUCCUUUGUUCAUCUUUGGAACACAAAUUAAG